rnacentral:rRNA from 1 species
GUGUCAGCAGCCGCGGUAAUACGGAGGGUGCAAGCGUUAUCCGGAUUCACUGGGUUUAAAGGGUGCGUAGGCGGGUAGGUAAGUCGGUGGUGAAAUCCUGGAGCUCAACUCCAGAACUGCCAUUGAUACUAUCUAUCUUGAAUAUUGUGGAGGUAAGCGGAAUAUGUCAUGUAGCGGUGAAAUGCUUAGAUAUGACAUAGAACACCCAUUGCGAAGGCAGCUUACUACGCAUAUAUUGACGCUGAGGCACGAAAGCGUGGGGAUCAAACAGGAUUAGAAACCCCAGUAGUCC